rnacentral:ncRNA from 1 species
UAUUUAACGAUGAUGAGGAAUAGUAGGGAUUGAGAAAUUUUCAGAGAGCGUAUGGUGCUGAGAAUACGUAAUUUAUUAAUCUUGAACUCGCCUCGGAGUUUCUUAUUGAAAAUAAUUAUUAGUAAAUAAGAGCGGUACUUGCGUUAUAAAGUAAAGAGCUAGUAUUUGAUUACUAGAAGUUAGGUGGUACCGCGGUUUAAUUCGUCCUAUGU